AAUGGGCUCAUAUAUAGAGAGCUUCUCCCAAGUGAGAAUUCCCUCAUGACUUUAACGAUUUGUGAACUGACACCUAUCCCAUUUUACAUACUCAUGGUUUCAACGCAGUGUUUUUCAUAUUUGACAAUCAUGUGUGAAAGUUUUCACAUUGCUUAUGUAUGAUCAAAACCCAGUAAGAGGUCUUUUGUGUCUUUCACAAUCACCAUGAGUGAUGAAAGCUUUCCCAGUUUACUUAUAUACAGAGGGCAUUGCCCUAUUGGGAGCUCUGUUUUAGGCAAAAACUGCUUUUGCUGAAAGCUUUCCCACAUUGUGAGUCCUUCCAUGUCUUUGACAAGCUCUACGUGUGCCGAAAGCUUUCCCACACUGCUUACAUUCAUAGGGUUUCUCCCCAGUGUGAAUCCUUUCAUGUUCUCGAAAAUUACUGCUUUUGCUGAAUGCUUUCCCACAUUGCUUACAUACAUAGGGUUUCUCCCCAGUGUGAACUCUUUCAUGGGUUCGAUGAGCACUUUUUGUGCUAAAAGCUUUCCCACAUUGCUUACAUACAUAAGGUUUCACGCCACUGUGAACUCUUUCAUGUAUUUGGGAAUAUAUGUGAGUGGUGAAAGCUUUUCCACAUUGCUUACAUACAUAGGGUUUCUCCCCAGUAUGAACUCUUUCAUGUCUUUGACAACAUCUACGUGUGCUGAAAGCUUUCCCACACUGCUUGCAUUCAUAGGGUUUCUCCCCAGUGUGAACUCUUUCAUGUGUUUUACAAGUACUAUAUGAGCUGAAU
rnacentral:lncRNA from 1 species